rnacentral:rRNA from 1 species
AUUGAACGCUGGCGGCAGGCCUAACACAUGCAAGUCGAACGGCAGCGGGGGGUAGCUUGCUACCCCGCCGGCGAGUGGCGGACGGGUGAGUAAUGCCUGGGGAGCUGCCCAAUCGAGGGGGAUACCAGUUGGAAACGACUGCUAAUACCGCAUACGCCCUGAGGGGGAAAGGUGGGGAUCUUCGGACCUAUCGCGAUUGGAUGCACCCAGGUGGGAUUAGCUAGUUGGUGAUGUAACGGCUCACCAAGGCGACGAUCUCUAGCUGGUCUGGGAGGAUGACCAGCCACACUGGAACUGAGACACGGUCCAGACUCCUACUGGAGGCAGCAGUGGGGAAUAUUGCACAAUGGGGGAAACCCUGAUGCAGCCAUGCCGCGUGUGUGAAGAAGGCCUUCGGGUUGUAAAGCACUUUCAGCGAGGAGGAAAGGGUGGCAGCUAAUACCUGUCAUCUGUGACGUUACUCGCAGAAGAAGCACCGGCUAACUCCGUGCCAGCCGCCGCGGUAA